rnacentral:rRNA from 1 species
ACUCAAAUGAAUUGACGGGGACCCGCACAAGCGGUGGAGCGUGUUGUUUAAUUCGAUGGUAAGCGAAGAACCUUACCCAGACUUGACUUCCUUGGAAUUUUUACGAAAGUAAAUUGUGCCUUCGGGAACCAAGUGACAGGUGUUGCAUGGCCGUCGUCAGCUCGUGUCGUGAGAUGUUAGGUUAAGUCCUUCAACGAGCGCAACCCUUGUAUUCAGUUGAAUUUUUCUGAAUAGACUGCCCUGGUAACAGGGAGGAAGGGGGGGAUGAUGUCAGGUCAGUAUUACCCUUACGUCUGGGGCUACAAACACGCUACAAUGGCCGGUACAAAGGGCAGCCAACCCGCGAGGGGGAGCAAAUCCUAUCAAAGCCGGUCUCAGUUCGGAUUGCAGGCUGAAACUCGCCUGCAUGAAGCUGGAAUCGCUAGUAACGGUAAGUCAGCACAUUACCGUGAAUACGUUCCCGGGUCUUGUACACACCGCCCGU